rnacentral:lncRNA from 1 species
UGGAGGUUGGUUAGAUUGUGAGUGUCAGAUCGAUGAGAAGAUGAUGUAAGGUGGUGAGUAUGCACUUUGCAGAUGGAGGGAGAACUUUGUAGUUUGUGUGUUGUUGGAACUUAGAAUGAAGUAACAGGAGGUUUUGUUCUUUUGAAGGGAAGAAGAAAUGGUAUAUGGUAGAGAAUGAGGGACUUGGAUACGAGAGAAAGAAAGAGUAUAAUGUUGAAGAUGGAGUGGGGUGAAGG